UACGUAGGGUGCAAGCAUUAAUCGGAUUUAUUGGGCGUAAAGGGCGCGUAGGCGGAAAUGCCAGUCAACUGUGAAAUCCCGGGGCUCAACCCCGGAACAGCAUUUGAAACUACAUUUCUAGAGGGUAGACGGAGAAAACGGAAUUCCACAAGUAGCGGUGAAAAUGCGUAGAUAUGUGGAAGAACACCAGCGGCGAAGGCGGUUUUCUAGUUUAUACCUGACGCUGAGGCGCGAAAGCAAGGGGAGCAAACAGG
rnacentral:rRNA from 1 species